rnacentral:rRNA from 1 species
AGAGUUUGAUCCUGGCUCAGCGCGAACGCUGGCGGCGUGCCUAACACAUGCAAGUCGUGCGGAGGGGUGAUGAGCCCCUCAGCGGCAAACGGGUGAGUAACACGUGAGUAACCUGCCCCUGGGAAGGGGAUAACCCUCCGAAAGGGGGGCUAAUACCCUAUAUUGCCGGGGACCACUAAGGUCACCCGGUGAAAGGUGGCCUCUGCCCUUCAUGGGUAUGCUACCGCCCAGGGAGGGGCUCGCGGCCCAUCAGGUAGUUGGUGGGGUAACGGCCUACCAAGCCUAUGACGGGUAGCCGGCCUGAGAGGGUGGCCGGCCACAGUGGGACUGAGACACGGCCCACACCCCUACGGGGGGCAGCAGUGGGGAAUCGUGGGCAAUGGGCGAAAGCCUGACCCCGCGACGCCGCGUGGGGGAUGAAGCCCUUCGGGGUGUAAACCCCUGUCGGGGGGGACGAUGUGUCCUGGGGUGAAUAAUCCCAGGGCAUGACGGUACCCCCAGAGGAAGGGACGGCUAACUACGUGCCAGCAGCCGCUGUGAUACGUAGGUCCCGAGCGUUGCGCCAA